AGUGAACGCUGGCGGUAGGCCUAACACAUGCAAGUCGAACGGCAGCACAGUAAGAGUUUGCUCUUACGGGUGGCGAGUGGCGGACGGGUGAGGAAUACAUCGGAAUCUACUUUUUCGGGGGGGAUAACGUAGGGAAACUUACGAUAAUACCGCAUACGACCUACGGGUGAAAGCAGGGGAUCUUCGGACCUUGCGCGAUUGAAUGAGCGGAUGUCGGAUUAGCUAGUUGGCGGGGUAAAGGCCCACCAAGGCGACGAUCCGUAGCUGGUCUGAGAGGAUGAUAAGCCACACGGGAACGGAGACACGGUCCAUACUCCUACGGGAGGGAGCAGUGGGGAAUGUUGGACAAUGGGCGCAAGCCUGAUCCAGCCAUACCGCGUGGGUGAAGAAGGCCUUCGGGUUGUAAAGCCCUUUUGUUGGGAAAGAAAAGCAGCAGGUUGAUACCCCGCUGGUCUGACGGUACCCAAAGAAUAAGCACCGGCUAACUUCGUG
rnacentral:rRNA from 1 species